rnacentral:rRNA from 1 species
UGCCAGCAGCCGCGGUAAUACAGAGGGUGCGAACGUUGCUCGGAUUUACUGGGCGUAAAGCGCGUGUAGGCGGACUCGCAAGUCGGUUGUGAAAUCCCUGGGCUCAACCUAGGAACUGCAUCCGAAACUGCUUGUCUUGAGUAAUGGAGAGGAAAGCGGAAUUAUCGGUGUAGAGGUGAAAUUCGUAGAUAUCGAUAGGAACACCAGUGGCGAAGGCGGCUUUCUGGACAUUUACUGACGCUGAGACGCGAAAGCGUGGGGAGCAAACAGGAUUAGAUA